rnacentral:rRNA from 1 species
GAGUUUGAUCGUGGCUCAGAUUGAACGCUGGCGGAAUGCUUUACACAUGCAAGUCGAGCGGCAGCGCGGGGCAACCUGGCGGCGAGCGGCGAACGGGUGAGUAAUGCAUCGGAACAUGUCCAUGUCGUGGGGGAUAGCCCGGCGAAAGCCGGAUUAAUACCGCAUACGCCCGAGAGGGGAAAGUGGGGGACCGCAAGGCCUCACGCGAUUGGGUUGGCCGAUGUCCGAUUAGCUAGUUGGCGGGGUAAUGGCCCACCAAGGCGAUGAUCGGUAGCUGGUCUGAGAGGAUGAUCAGCCACACUGGGACUGAGACACGGCCCAGACUCCUACGGGGGC